CCUCAGACGUUUAUACAAUUUAGGGAAGUGACGGGGGUUGUCAGAAGCUAACUGCGCCCUUUCAUCCGAAAGUUCUAAUGAGAAAGCAAAUGAAUGGAAUCGUCGGUACGGAUUGAGAACGGAUCGUUAUAACAGGGUCAACGGUAACGGGGACUGGUUUUGGACCUCCACACACAGUCGACGAAUAAAUAGCUAUUUAAAAAAAAAAAUUUUUACAGCCAACAAUGAAUGUGCAAUUACCUUCAUCUGCAACAUGGCUGCUAGGAGGACGCUAGUGGGAAAAGUUUAGAGUACUGACGUGGGACAAGUUUAUACUAAUCCAGUCCGGUGCAGCAGAAACUGUUGGAUAAACAAAACAAAUAUUUUUCUUCUUCUUUCUAUCGCCUCGGAUUGAACAAACGAACGGAACACUGGAUUACCGAGUAAAUGCAGAGGAGUGCAAGACCACUUUGGCAAUAGACUUUACCUUGUAGAUUUGUGGUGAACCUUUUCAUCCAAACUAGCGGACCUGUCGUCCAGUGGGCCAUCAUCUAAAAUGCAUUUCUCCAUUCCCGAAACGGAGGUUCGUUCGGGAGAAAAUGGAUCAACAUAUGUGGCCUUCAACAUCCAUGUGAAUAGUGUUCUGCACUGUCAGGUACGCUAUAGCCAGCUGCUUGGCCUACACCAACAGAUAAAGAAAGAGUAUGGGAACAACGUGGUACCUGCUUUCCCCCCAAAGAAGAUAUUCACGCUGACGCCGGCUGAGGUGGAGCAGAGACGAGAACAGCUGGAGAAAUACAUGCAAGCUGUACGACAGGACCCCAUGCUCGGAGCCAGUGAGGUGUUCAACAGCUUUCUAAGGAAAGCCCAGCAGGAGACCCAGCAGAUUCCAACAGAAGAGGUACCUCUGGAGAUCUACCUGUCUAAGAGGCAGAAGGUCACAGUCAACAUCCUGACCUCGGACCAGACAGAAGACGUCCUCGAGGCUGUUGCGUCGAAGCUGGACCUUCCAGAUGACCUUGCUGGUUACUUCAGUCUCUUCCUGGUUCGGGAAGGAGUGGACGGGGGCUUAACGUUUGUGAGGAAGCUGCAGGAUUUUGAGCUGCCAUACGUAUCAGUCACCAGUUUACGGAGCUUGGAGUUCCACAUCGCCCUUCGUAAAAGUUACUGGGACACGGCGUAUGACACUGAUGUAAUGGACAACAGAGUGGGACUAAACCUACUAUACACUCAGACGGUGUCUGACAUAGAGAGAGGCUGGAUCCUCGUUAACAAGGACCAACACAGACAGCUCAAAUCACUGCAGGAGAAAGGCUCCAAGAAAGAAUUCAUUAGGCUAUGCCAGACGCUGAAGUACUUUGGCUACAUCCAAUUUGAUCCAUGUGUGACAGACUUCCCGGAGAAAGGCUGUCACGCAAUCGUCUCCGCUGGGAACAACGAACUCAACUUCCAGGUCAAGCUGCCCAAUGAACAGAUGAAAGAGGGGAGCUUCAAGGUCACUCGCAUGCGGUGCUGGCGGGUCACGUCUUCUCAGGUCCCAGUAGCCAACGGAACAGCCUCCCCCCCCCCUCUACAACAGGUCCCAGUAGCCAACGGAACAGCCUCCACCUCCCCCUGCUCCUCAGCCCAGUGUGAGGUGAAGUUGGAGCUGGCCUUCGAGUAUCUGAUGAGCAAAGACCGUCUCCAGUGGGUCACCAUCACCAGCCCACAGGUCAGGGGCAAUCAUGAUGAGCAUCUGUCUACAGUCGAUGGUUGAUGAGCUGAUGGUCAAGAAGUCAGGAGGCAGCAUCAAGAAGAUGCUGCGGAGACGUCCCAACGGCUCCCUCCACCGGUCUGAAAGUCAGCAAGCUGUGAAAUCCCCCCCUCUACUGGACUCUCCUGACCCAGACCGAGAACAGAUAGUCAAACUCUCAACCAAGCUGAGCUCUGUGUCACUCAGAGGGACCAGCGACGUCGGCGGCAACGAUUUCCAUGGCAACUACGCCUUUGAGGGGAUCGGGGACGAUGACCUGUAAUAUUCAACCCCCUUCCUCCCCCUGACUAACGCGACCCGCAAAGAUUCCAAGCCGAGCUGAGCCAGGCAGAAAUGAGUUUUGUCGUGUGGUUUCUGGUUGUAGCCCUUCCUGAGGGUCUGCUACCAACCAUAUGUUCUCCUUUCAUCCUCUUCAUAAAAGGCUGCAUCCCAAAUGACACUCUGUUUACUUUCACAGUAUGGUACUUUUGAGCAGAGUCCCGUUGGCCAUUUGGCGACACAGCCAAAACUGCCAUCUAUCUCAGUGUUUUCCCAACCUUUAUUUGAACCGUGGCACACUUUAAAAAAUCUAUAUAUAUUUGGCACACCUAAAAUAUCCCUAUUGAUUUGUUUUAGUGGUAAUGACCUGCAACGUACUGCAAAUCAUCUAUUUUCUGUGACAAAUGUGUUUUAUAGAUUUUAAAUAGGGUUAAUUUGAACUGUUUUUCAUAGUUCUUUACUCAUGAUGGUUAAUUUGUGUGUACCCCUUUAAGAGAACCCAUGACUCUGUACUAUAAUUCGUAUUAUUUCUUUCUGGUAAAAUAGGUAUUUUUAUUGUUAAAGGUUUGAGCUACAGACGAGUGGUUUUCUGCAUUGUAGAAGUGCAAACACAGACACGAGCCAUGCUCCAUAAGAAAUAACUGACUUUGGCUAAACCUAAUCAGACUUGCCUGUACAAAUGUUUUUUACAGACAAAUCUAAUGAUUUUCACUGCCCAUCCUCUUGUUCAUCAAUCAACUCAUUGUUUCUCUUAUGUUCUUAAUAAAUGUCAAUAAUAUUUAGAGGGGAAAAAAAAUCUCAAACUGCAGUCUUAAGGUGAAAGUGGUUUAAACGAGGACAUUGCAAAUGUCAUUUUUGAACGUGUUAUUAUAAUAAGCAUAAUUAUCCAUGAGUGGACAAUGGAUGUUUUGAACUUCUAGACUAUGUAGCAGUCUUCAUAGAUUUACGUUCUUCUGUAAAAAAUGAGGACAUUCCGUAGGUCGAAAAGGAGCCUCGUCUUCAUCACAGUGUCAUUCUAAGUGUGUAAUUUUUGUGUUUUCUUUUAGUGUGUUUAUUCUGUCACAUCAGAAAUCCAAGGUACAAACCAGAUAGCUGAUUUUGUAAAAAAAAAGAAGGGGUGUCAGAUCUCACUCAGAGCUAUGUCUUCUUCAGAUGGGGUCUUCUUCCUUUUGACAAACCAAGACGAGACAGAAGUCAGGCAGAAAGGCUUUAACACAGUGAUAAUGAAAUGUGUUAUUCAUUUGGAGUUACUGCUUAGUGAUAUUACUUACACACACAAUUUAAUAACUGUUCAAAUUUGCCAAAAAAGUGUUUUUCAGGAACGUAUUUUGAAGGGUACAUUUGUUAUUUUUCUCCCCUAUUACUCACACCAGCGCUGUUGUAGUGAAGAUUAGUGGGAAUGUUAGACUACAUAGGUUGUUGACUACAAUGCUCAUUUCCUGUAAGAUUUAUAAUUUAACGCCUUAAUUUUGCCUGUUGCCUCUAGUCCACCAAAAUCCAGUGUUGGGUUGCCUUUGGUCAACUUACCAACCAUGUAUCAGCCUUAGCUUGCACUUCCCGAACCAAUCAUUUUGCACAGUAUUAUGCCGCGUUCGCGUACUAGUGGGAAUUAGGAAACUCUGAAAUGACUGACUUGGUUGUAGUUAUACACCAGCUGCGUUCAACCAGUUAGCAAGUCGGACAUUUCAGAGUUUCCUUGUUCUGACUAGUACUUGAAUGUGGCAAUACAGAUGGACGACGGAUAUUUAUUAAGUAAUGUGGAGCACGAAAAAACGUCAUGGGGCUUAGUCUCAAAAGGCACCCUAUUCCCUAUAUAGUGCACUACUUUUGCCUAGAGGUUUGACCAGCGGUAUAGGGAAUAGGGUGCCUUUUGGGACUCAGCCAUAGAAUAUUUCCAAGGGGGUUGUGAAACUCCCUUGGAAACUUUCCCUUUUUUGUUUCAGCCAAUUUUUUUUUUGCCUCAUAAAAGCCAAAAUUAUAGUUUACUAAAGCAUUUUGCACAAAAUAACAUUUAAAAAAAAACACAUGGUAUGACGUCACUUUGUAUAAGAAAAAUCAUUGUGAACAUUUACUAAUAAUAACUGUAUCAUCCAUAGUUUAUUACAGAGCCAUAUAUUUAGAGACUUAGGCCAAAUAUUAUAAUGUUUUAUAUUGUUCUGAUUCUAGACAUUCAGGUACAUAGCAUUGUAUAAAUAUUCC